rnacentral:rRNA from 1 species
UGGUGGAGUGGUUUGUCUGGUUAAUUCCGUUAACGAACGAGACCUCACCUUAUUAAUUAAUUAUACUAACAUUAGUUGUGUAAAUAUCUUAGAGGGACCUUUGGUUAAGAACCAAUGGAAGUUUGAGGUAAUAACA